UACGAAGGGGGCUAGCGUUGCUCGGAAUCACUGGGCGUAAAGCGUGCGCAGGCGGUCUUGCAAGACAGAUGUGAAAUCCCCGGGCUCAACCUGGGAACUGCAUUUGUGACUGCAAGGCUGGAGUGCGGCAGAGGGGGAUGGAAUUCCGCGUGUAGCAGUGAAAUGCGUAGAUAUGCGGAGGAACACCGAUGGCGAAGGCAAUCCCCUGGGCCUGCACUGACGCUCAUGCACGAAAGCGUGGGGAGCAAACAGG
rnacentral:rRNA from 1 species